rnacentral:hammerhead_ribozyme from 1 species
AUCCAGUGGACGAGUCCUAAAUAGGACUAAACGUGCGUCCUGGAU